rnacentral:rRNA from 1 species
ACGAACGCUGGCGGCGUGCCUAAUACAUGCAAGUCGAACGCUUCUUUUUCCAUCGGAGCUUGCUCCACCGGAAAAAGAGGAGUGGCGAACGGGUGAGUAACACGUGGGUAACCUGCCCAUCAGAAGGGGAUAACACUUGGAAACAGGUGCUAAUACCGUAUAACAAUCGAAACCGCAUGGUUUUGAUUUGAAAGGCGCUUUCGGGUGUCGCUGAUGGAUGGACCCGCGGUGCAUUAGCUAGUUGGUGAGGUAACGGCUCACCAAGGCGACGAUGCAUAGCCGACCUGAGAGGGUGAUCGGCCACAUUGGGACUGAGACACGGCCCAAACUCCUACGGGAGGCAGCAGUAGGGAAUCUUCGGCAAUGGACGAAAGUCUGACCGAGCAACGCCGCGUGAGUGAAGAAGGUUUUCGGAUCGUAAAACUCUGUUGUUAGAGAAGAACAAGGAUGAGAGUAACUGUUCAUCCCUUGACGGUAUCUAACCAGAAAGCCACGGCUAACUACGUGCCAGCAGCCGCGGUAAUACGUAGGUGGCAAGCGUUGUCCGGAUUUAUUGGGCGUAAAGCGAGCGCAGGCGGUUUCUUAAGUCUGAUGUGAAAGCCCCCGGCUCAACCGGGGAGGGUCAUUGGAAACUGGGAGACUUGAGUGCAGAAGAGGAGAGUGGAAUUCCAUGUGUAGCGGUGAAAUGCGUAGAUAUAUGGAGGAACACCAGUGGCGAAGGCGGCUCUCUGGUCUGUAACUGACGCUGAGGCUCGAAAGCGUGGGGAGCAAACAGGAUUAGAUACCCUGGUAGUCCACGCCGUAAACGAUGAGUGCUAAGUGUUGGAGGGUUUCCGCCCUUCAGUGCUGCAGCUAACGCAUUAAGCACUCCGCCUGGGGAGUACGACCGCAAGGUUGAAACUCAAAGGAAUUGACGGGGGCCCGCACAAGCGGUGGAGCAUGUGGUUUAAUUCGAAGCAACGCGAAGAACCUUACCAGGUCUUGACAUCCUUUGACCACUCUAGAGAUAGAGCUUCCCCUUCGGGGGCAAAGUGACAGGUGGUGCAUGGUUGUCGUCAGCUCGUGUCGUGAGAUGUUGGGUUAAGUCCCGCAACGAGCGCAACCCUUAUUGUUAGUUGCCAUCAUUUAGUUGGGCACUCUAGCAAGACUGCCGGUGACAAACCGGAGGAAGGUGGGGAUGACGUCAAAUCAUCAUGCCCCUUAUGACCUGGGCUACACACGUGCUACAAUGGGAAGUACAACGAGUCGCAAAGUCGCGAGGCUAAGCUAAUCUCUUAAAGCUUCUCUCAGUUCGGAUUGUAGGCUGCAACUCGCCUACAUGAAGCCGGAAUCGCUAGUAAUCGCGGAUCAGCACGCCGCGGUGAAUACGUUCCCGGGCCUUGUACACACCGCCCGUCACACCACGAGAGUUUGUAACACCCGAAGUCGGUGAGGUAACCUUUUGGAGCCAGCCGCCUAAGGUGGGAUAGAUGAUUGGGGUG